GAUGAACGCUGGCGGCGUGCCUAAUACAUGCAAGUCGAGCGAACGGACGAGAAGCUUGCUUCUCUGAUGUUAGCGGCGGACGGGUGAGUAACACGUGGAUAACCUACCUAUAAGACUGGGAUAACUUCGGGAAACCGGAGCUAAUACCGGAUGAUAUUUUGAACCGCAUGGUUCAAAAGUGAAAGACGGUCUUGCUGUCACUUAUAGAUGGAUCCGCGCUGCAUUAGCUAGUUGGUAAGGUAACGGCUUACCAAGGCAACGAUGCAUAGCCGACCUGAGAGGGUGAGCGGCCACACUGGAACUGAGACACGGUCCAGAGUACUACGGGAGGCAGCAGUAGGGAAUCUUCCACAAUGGGCGAAAGCAUGACGGAGCAACGCCGAGUGAGUGAAGAAGGUCUUAGGAUCGUAAAACUCUGUUAUUAGGGAAGAAAAUAUGUGUAAGUAACUGUGCACAUAUUGACGGUACCUAAUCAGAAAGCCACGGAUAACUACGUG
rnacentral:rRNA from 1 species